rnacentral:rRNA from 1 species
UACGGGGGGAGCAAGCGUUGUUCGGAUUUACUGGGCGUAAAGGGCGCGUAGGCGGCCACCGCAAGUCAGUUGUGAAAUCUCUGGGCUUAACCCAGAAAGGUCAACUGAUACUGCGGGGCUAGAGUGCAGAAGGGGCAACUGGAAUUCUCGGUGUAGCGGUGAAAUGCGUAGAUAUCGAGAGGAACACCUGCGGCGAAGGCGGGUUGCUGGGCCGACACUGACGCUGAAGCGCGAAAGCUAGGGGAGCGAACGGG